rnacentral:tRNA from 1 species
ACUCAGUUGGUAAAGUACAAAGCUCUUAACCUUGUGGACGUGGGUUCAAGCCCCAU